GAUGAACGCUGGCGGCGUGCCUAAUACAUGCAAGUCGAGCGAACAGACGAGGAGCUUGCUCCUCUGACGUUAGCGGCGGACGGGUGAGUAACACGUGGAUGACCUACCUAUAAGACUGGGAUAACUUCGGGAAACCGGAGCUAAUACCGGAUAAUAUAUUGAACCGCAUGGUUCAAUAGUGAAAGACGGUUUUGCUGUCACUUAUAGAUGGAUCCGCGCCGCAUUAGCUAGUUGGUAAGGUAACGGCUUACCAAGGCAACGAUGCGUAGCCGACCUGAGAGGGUGAUCGGCCACACUGGAACUGAGGCACGGUCCAGACUCCUACGGGAGGCAGCAGUAGGGAAUCUUCCGCAAUGGGCGAAAGCCUGACGGAGCAACGCCGCGUGAGUGAUGAAGGUCUUCGGAUCGUAAAACUCUGUUAUUAGGGAAGAACAAAUGUGUAAGUAACUAUGCACGUCUUGACGGUACCUAAUCAGAAAGCCACGGCUAACUACGUG
rnacentral:rRNA from 1 species